AUGUCCAGCCACGAAGAGUUGUUCACCGGCGGCGUUCUCCAUGUCACUGUGCACCAUGUGUACUACCCGGUCACUGAGGAGACGCUGCAACAGGUGUUUACAUUGUAUGGUGUGGUGAAGAUCUCCGUGUUCCAGAGAAUCGACCAUGUGGAGGCAGUGGUUCAACUUCGAUCAAGACGCGGAGCAGCGCAGGCUCUUGCCAUGCAUGGUCGGUGCAUCUAUGAGCGUGCCUGCCUCCUCGACAUCCAGGAUGUGUCACCGGAGUACAACCUGCACUUGUGCUCGCUGCUCGAGCAGAAGCAGACUGCAACCGUGGCUGAGUACACGGUGGCGUUCUGGGAAUGCGUACAUCAUGUGUUGGAUCUCAACCCCAACCUGAGCAUCAAGAGUUUCGUCCACCAAUACAUUGAGGGCUUGCGGGAAGAUAUCAAGGAUGCCGUGCGGUCGCGAUCUCCAUUAAGCAUCACCGGUGCUUCGUCCCUUGCCCGGAUAAGGGAGGAUGAAAUCGUGCAGGAGGCGGCAAUGGCUGCGGAGAAACUUGAUGACGGCCAUGGAGUUCACGUCCUCAUGCCUACGGUGAUCCUCACGGAAGUCUUCCUCGAGCUCACUGCCCCAGUGGAGUGCAGUGCAGACCACAACAUCAUCACCAUUGACAGCAACAACCAUGCUGCACCGACGCCUAUCACAUGUUUGACAGAGUGCCCGAGUCACGCCGCCGCCGUUGACAUCUCCCCUAAGCUGGCAGCUUCUGCUCUAUGCGGAGAGACCGUCGACAUCGAAGCCAUCAGUGUUGCUGCACCAACAUUCGAUGUGUGUUCUAUUGUUGGUCCGACCAAUGCUGAAGUCAACAGUUAUGUGCCGGUGCCCCUCAUUGUGUGGAGUGUCAACCCAUUCUCCGCAGCUCCCCUCAAGGUCGUGCCAACCAUAGCGCAUUGGUCAUGUUCCACCCCCAAACUGGACACCAUGGCGUCAACAAGGUGUUGGACCCUCUGCCUCGACCACAUUGGUGCGUUGACGCCCACAUACAUGCUGGAUAAGAAUGUGAACAUAAGGCAACAAGCACAAAUGUUACGACCAAUGCCAUGGCCAUCAUUUAAGUGCCAUUCAGAAGCAAGCAGUCCUCAAGAUCCACGUCCAGCAACUCAAGGUAUAUUUGGGAAACUAUCUACAUGUCAGCCACACGAGGAUCUCAAUGGUUGGGCUGCCAGUUUGGUCUUGCAUUGGAAUAGCUCAUUUGAUGGACACUAUUUACAACUACUUGCUGCACUGAGAAGUUUCUGCUGUGAGUUAUAUUAUAUUGGGGGGCCCUGUGGUUAUUGGCAAUAUGCAUAUCUGCAGCAGUGGUGUUCAUCUCAGCGAGAAAGUUAUUCGAAUUUUGGGAGGGCUGGCGAUGCUAUAUUGAACACAAAACAAAAAUCACAAAGUUUAUUAAGUAGCAUUCUUGUGGAACUUGUGAGUAGGCAAACCCCCGGAGUCGGCUAUUUCUGCCAAACAUCUGACCAGAAGAACAAAAGGCUUAAUUACAUUCCUGAAGUGGGUGAACAAGUUAUGAGGUUGUGCUCUGUCGAACUGGCACCUUGGGCUUGUUCUGCAUUACAUUUCAUUAAGCCCUACAGUUAUGGGCUGGGUAUGCGCAUAAUUGUGGAGUUGAAGCCUUGGCCAAAAUGGAAAAUCAAUGGUCGUUGUGAGGGCAUGGCUUUAUUUUGGCGGUCUCCUCAUAUGGCAUUCCCUGCAAUAUUUUCAGUAACUACGACCAACGUGUUGCACCAAAUGGAUUGGUGCUAUGCUGUUCAGUGUGUACAACCAACUAAUGCCAUUGGUGAUGCUGCUUUACAGCUGUGUUCUGCAAAAUAUUGGGAUAUCAUGAUGCCUUAUGUUCCAGUUACUCGCUCAUGUGGGCUGCAUCUGCUAGGGAGUAGCGUUCUUGCCUUCCUGAGUGUAUGGUUGUACCCAACAUGUGCAGAAACAGUGUUCAGUUUCAUGUUACAGCUUCAAGCCCUCCUGCUGAUAACAAAGUGUUCGGAUCAUGGAACUCUGAGUGCAGCUACAGCUACUAAAAAGCAGUUCGGAAUCAACAAUAGUUCCUUGAUACAAUCUGAUGUUACAGGUGCGGAUGUUCAUAGGAUGGCUCAAUUAUGUGAUGAAUCAUCAAUCUCAAGGCAGCAUAGGAAUUGCAGUCAUAUUGUUGCAACAUCUCCAGCCUACUAA
rnacentral:rRNA from 1 species